CCUACGGGAGGCAGCAGUGGGGAAUUUUGGACAAUGGGCGAAAGCCUGAUCCAGCAAUGCCGCGUGAGUGAAGAAGGCCUUCGGGUUGUAAAGCUCUUUUGUCAGGGAAGAAACGGUGAGGGCUAAUAUCCCUUGCUAAUGACGGUACCUGAAGAAUAAGCACCGGCUAACUACGUGCCAGCAGCCGCGGUAAUACGUAGGGUGCAAGCGUUAAUCGGAAUUACUGGGCGUAAAGCGUGCGCAGGCGGUUUUGUAAGUCUGUCGUGAAAUCCCCGGGCUCAACCUGGGAAUUGCGAUGGAGACUGCAAGGCUAGAAUCUGGCAGAGGGGGGUAGAAUUCCACGUGUAGCAGUGAAAUGCGUAGAGAUGUGGAGGAACACCGAUGGCGAAGGCAGCCCCCUGGGUCAAGAUUGACGCUCAUGCACGAAAGCGUGGGGAGCAAACAGGAUUAGAUACCCUGGUAGUCCACGCCCUAAACGAUGUACUACUAGUUGUCGGGUUUUAAUUAACUUGGUAACGCAGCUAACGCGUGAAGUAGACCGCGUGGGGAGUACGGUCGNGAAGUAUUAAACCGUUNAAAGUGUUAAGUUAGUAGGCGUUGAGACGUUGCGACGGACGACGACGAGGGAGGAGG
rnacentral:rRNA from 1 species